rnacentral:rRNA from 1 species
AUCAGCCACACUGGGACUGAGACACGGCCCAGACUCCUACGGGAGGCAGCAGUGGAGAAUAUUGGACAAUGGGCGCAAGCCUGAUCCAGCAAUACCGCGUGUGUGAAGAAGGCCUUAGGGUUGUAAAGCACUUUCAAUAGGGAGGAAAACCUGCCGGUCAAUACCCGGUAGCUUGACAUUACCUAUAGAAGAAGCACCGGCUAACUCCGUGCCAGCAGCCGCGGUAAUACGGAGGGUGCGAGCGUUAAUCGGAAUUACUGGGCGUAAAGCGUGCGUAGGCGGUUCGUUAAGUCAGAUGUGAAAGCCCUGGGCUCAACCUGGGAACUGCAUUUGAAACUGGCGGACUAGAGUUUAGUAGAGGGGAGUGGAAUUUCAGGUGUAGCGGUGAAAUGCGUAGAUAUCUGAAGGAACACCAGUGGCGAAGGCGACUCCCUGGACUCAAACUGACGCUGAGGUACGAAAGCGUGGGUAGCAAACAGGAUUAGAUACCCUGGUAGUCCACGCCGUAAACGAUGUCAACUAGCCGUUGGUCCUAUUUACAGGAUUAGUGGCGCAGCUAACGCAUUAAGUUGACCGCCUGGGGAGUACGGCCGCAAGGUUAAAACUCAAAUGAAUUGACGG